UGCUAGUCACCGUCGCCACCUUCCAGUCACCGUCGCCGCCGUAUGCCGUUGCCGUCGCCGGCCUAUCUGUCAAUUUGAGUUCUAGUAGUAGUCGGAAUGCGUAGCUGGCUCCUCCGCGUCGAUCGAGCUAAUGAAUGAUGGGAAGGGAAUUAACAAAAGUAGCGCUUUCUAAGUUCUAAGAUGACAGGGAAGGGGAAGAGGCCAGGAAAGGGAGGGAAUCGAUACUUUAAGAGUAUUUGUUUGUAUUU